CUACGAAGGGGGCUAGCGUUGUUCGGAAUUACUGGGCGUAAAGCGCGCGUAGGCGGAUUGGUCAGUUAGGGGUGAAAUCCCAGGGCUUAACCCUGGAACUGCCUCUAAUACUGCCAGUCUUGAGUUCGGGAGAGGUGAGUGGAAUUCCUAGUGUAGAGGCGAAAUCCGUAGAUAUUAGGAAGAACACCAGUGGCGAAGGCGGCUCACUGGCCCGAUACUGACGCUGAGGCGCGAAAGCGUGGGGAGCAAACAGGAUUAGAAACCCGGGUAGUCC
rnacentral:rRNA from 1 species